UGCCCCCACUGUAAUGGGCAAAGAGGCACCUUGUUGGUAGUGCUGUUCUUACAUCAGCCAGGGGCAGAGCAGGUGGAAGUUCUUUGUUCAUUCUAGCUUGAAGCCACGUGGCUUGGUGGCCAAAGCUAUCUUAUGCCUAGAACUCAUAA